rnacentral:snoRNA from 1 species
GCUAUUUUACAAGAGAGAGAGGAGAAAGACCCUUCUAAUGCAUGAUAGACCUGCCCCAAAGUGGCCUCUUCCUAGGAGUACAACAGCU